rnacentral:rRNA from 1 species
UACGAAGGGAGCUAGCGUUGUUCGGAAUCACUGGGCGUAAAGCGCACGUAGGCGGAUGUGUCAGUCAGGGGUGAAGUCCCGGAGCUCAACUUCGGAACUGCCUUUGAUACAGCACGUCUUGAGUCCGGAAGAGGUGGGUGGAAUUCCUAGUGUAGAGGUGAAAUUCGUAGAUAUUAGGAAGAACACCGGUGGCGAAGGCGGCCCACUGGUCCGGUACUGACGCUGAGGUGCGAAAGCGUGGGGAGCAAACAGG